UUUCAGGAGAAGCUAUUUGCCAUUUCACAGCCAAAUCCUGGAGGAAGUAGCAGGGAGCUGAUGAAUAUGGGAGCCUGCUGGUGGGACACACAGGUGCUCAGGAUGUGGAAAAUAUUUGGUCUAUCCUCCUAGAAACAUUGGAAGAUAUCCCAGUGGAGGUGAGACACCUUGGAGAAGACAGUGAGGCCAAGAGAUCACAUCAAAAGAUCUGCAAGCAAUCAUCUCUUUCCUAUGCAGAACAAAGACAACAUGCAAGUACUUCCGAAAGUAGACAAGGACAUGGCUGCCUUUUAUAGGUUUGCUGCUAAGAUCCGUUCUGCUGAUAUUUGACCAUAUUACGUUAUUAUUCUUUGCUGAUGCUUAAAGAACAACUUCUCCAGUUGCUCAAGAUGCCCAUUCUCAAUCAACAGGACUUCCAAAGUUUUAUUGUAACAAGAGGCUGAAAGUUCAUGUGCCUUUGUUUAUCUAUGAAGAUAACUUGAACUUAUAAUUAUGUCCAGUCAUUCAACAUCAUCUUAAGCUUACAUCUCUUGAAUAAUUCAACAUUUUGGCCAACCCCCUACAUGACUAAACAAUAUGCUCACUGCUCAACUAAAGUGCAAGAAGGCUGCAAAAAAGUCAUAGAAACAAGAAGAGGAAAUGAUGGAGAAGUAUAGCGAUACUGUUUAGACACUUGUGACUGAUAUCAGGAAGGCCAAAGCCUUGUAGCAGAAGAAGUAACUUGUGAGUGACAUAAAGAGUAACAGAAAGUAAUACUACAGUCAUUCCAGAAACAGCUUAAUUACUGGACAACUUGGCCAGCAUAAAUCACAUUAAGUUCAAGAAGUGCAAAUCUCUGAACUUGGGAACAGAGUGACCCCACACAUCAGUGCGGGUUGUGAGGUUGCAAAAGGACCUGGUGUUUACAGUGGGUACUAAUGAUCCAACACUGAGCUUUCAUCAUGAAAAAAACAAACUGCACAUUGGACUACAGUAGGAGAUGUAUGGCCAACAGAUUGAGGGAAGCUAUUAUUUCACUCUGUUCUGUGUUGGAGAGGCCAUAUCUGGAUCCUGGUCCAGUUAUAGGCUCUACAGUUCAAGAAAGGUAUUGAGGAAUUGAAGAAGGUUCUGCAUAUGGUCAGGUAUGAAUUUCUGAGGAGUACAUAAGGGUGGAGACCUAUUUGUUCCUCCAGAGAAGGGGCUAAGAGAUCACAGAAUCAUAGAGAGUAACUCAAGUUGGAAGGGACCUAUCUGGAUCAAGUCCAAUGCCCUAUUCCUUGCAGGAGUACCUAAAACUAAGCCAUAUGACUAAAAGUGUUGUCCAAAUGCCCCUUAAAAUCUGAGAGACUUAAUCACAGAAUCAUAGAAUAUACCAAAUUGGAAGGAACCCACAAGGAUCAUUGAGUCCAACACCUG